ACGCUCGACACCUACGGGAAGCAGCAGUGGGGAAUAUUGCACAAUGGGGGAAACCCGUGAUGCAGCGACGCCGCGUGGAGGAAGAAGGUCUUCGGAUUGUAAACUCCUGUUGUUGGGAAAAGAGGAUGGUACCCAACAAGGAAGUGACGGCUAACUACGUGCNGCAGCCGCGGUAAUCUGAGCGGGCUGGCAAGGC
rnacentral:rRNA from 1 species